rnacentral:rRNA from 1 species
GACAGAGGUGCCGAGCGUUAGGCGGAAUCACUGGGCUUAAAGCGUGUGUAGGCGGACCGUUAAGUACCUUGUGAAAUCCCCCCGGCUCAACCGGGGAACGGCUGGGUAUACUGGCGGUCUUGAGCCAUCCAGGGGCAGUCGGAACAGACGGUGGAGCGGUGAAAUGCGUAGAUAUCGUCUGGAACGCCGAAGGUGAAAACAGACUGCUGGGGAUGCGCUGACGCUGAGACACGAAAGCCAGGGGAGCAAACGGG